GAUGAACGCUAGCUACAGGCUUAACACAUGCAAGUCGGGGGGCAGCAUGGACAUAGCUUGCUAUGUCUGAUGGAGACCGGCGCACGGGUGCGGAACACGUAUCCAAUCUGCCCGUUACUCGGGGAUAGCCUUCUGAAAGGAAAAUUAAUACCCGAUGGCAUGUAUUUCCGGCAUCGGAGAUACAUUCAAUAUUAAUCGGUAACGGAUGGAGAUGCGUACGGUUAGCUUGUUGGCGGGGUAACGGGUCACCAAGGCAACGAUCGUUAGGGGUUCUGAGAGGAAGGUCCACCACACUGGAACUGAGACACGGUCCAGACUCCUACGGGAGGCAGCAGUGAGGAAUAUUGGUCAAUGGUCGGAAGACUGAACCAGCCAAGUAGCGUGAAGGAUGACUGCCCGACGGGUUGUAAACUUCUUUUGGUUGGGAAUAAAAGACGCUACGUGUAGCGUUCUGCAUGUACCUUACGAAUAAGCAUCGGCUAAUUCCGUGCCAGCAGCCGCGGUAACAC
rnacentral:rRNA from 1 species